rnacentral:rRNA from 1 species
GACGUAGGGCGCGAGCGUUGUCCGGAUUUAUUGGGCGUAAAGAGCUCGUAGGCGGCUUGUCGCGUCGAAUGUGAAAACUUGGGGCUCAACUCCAAGCUUGCAUUCGAUACGGGCAGGCUAGAGUUCGGUAGGGGAGACUGGAAUUCCUGGUGUAGCGGUGAAAUGCGCAGAUAUCGGGAGGAACACCCGUAGCGAAGGCGGCACUCUGGGCCGGAACUGACGCUGAGGAGCGAAAGCGUGGGGAGCAAACAGG